GACAGUACCUUGGAAAAGUCCUUUAAGAGAAGUUCGCGCGACCCUAAGCGAAAGGCCAAACGCGCGAAACGAAACUUCGAAAGACCCUAGGCGGAUUACCUUCAGACGUCGAAUAAGAUCGGACGAACGCGACACUGAAUUUUCUUCGACGUUGAUAAUACUAGGGAUAUAUCCUCGGGAAAAGCACCACUGAGAAAUUUUUUAAGUGUAAGAGAUAACACGCACGGAUACGAGAAACUAACGAGCACCUGUUACAUAAAACCAAUUAUUAAACUGGACGAACGGAUUCUUCUUUCGCUCUCUUUGUCAUUUAUGAAAACUGGAAAUCGUGAACGUGCGUGACCUCGCGUCUACGUGGAUGGACGAGGGUAAAAGAGGGGUGGAGAGUAUGGCGAGUCGUUUGGCGUGCGCAAUGUACCGCAUAUCUGCACGUUAUGUAUUUUUACUUCCCUCCUGUGCGCGCACACACUUUCUACGUACUCGUUCGUCGUGUAAAGGAGAAAAGCAGAGAAAAAGGGCUGGCUUCGCAGAGCACCAACAGCAGCACCGACGCCAGUACUAGCACCACACCACCAGUACCAUCACCAAUACCAACACCAUCGCUAGCACCACAACC